rnacentral:misc_RNA from 1 species
UAUCGCCUGGCAUAGUGUGCACCACACGUACCGUCGGUGCGACGAGUGUGUUUGGUUGUGUAAAUGCGUGUGUUAGGUGAAUCCGGAAUCGUCUGCUCCGUUGCUCUCGAGAGGAGAAGACGGUCGGCUGGAGAGGAAGCGAGAAGUUAGUUAGCCCGACGUCGAGCCAGUGAUUGGCCAGAGAUGUGCCGUCGAUGUUUUGCCAAAACGCUGAGGGUGUCGCGUCAAUUAUCGCGUUGACGUUCCGCUGCAUCGGUUCGGUCGUGCGGUGGCCGUGCAGUUUGACGACGUAAAAAGUGAUCGUUACCCAGCGAAAGAGAGAGAGAGAGAGAGAGUGAGAGAGAGAGAGAGAGAGAGAGUGAGCGAGGCAGCGGUCGGGAGAAGGGUGAGGAAGACGGAGCGAAAAGGAGAGAGGAGGGAGAGCAGUGCCGCCAGGCUUUUCUCCGUGUUUCGCCUGGAGUAUCAGCAUCGGGCUUCCGUGUUUCCCGCGACGGGUAGCAGACGACGUGAUUGAAACGAUGCUGACAGGAGCUGCCGCGGAGUAACAACAGGGCCGAAGGAGGGGGGGCAAAGAAGCGAAAGAAGCGGAAGAAAAGGCCGAGGGUGGAAAAGAAAAGCGGGCCGCUUUUGCAUGUUUUGAUUUUUUUCGAGUCGGGGAAACGGCUCGUCCGUACACUGACAGCUACCGUCGCACUUACGAUGGCAGGCACAAAGUCCGUCGCUAACGUCGUUCAGAUAAAACCGGUCGAGGUAUCGCAGCAGCUCCAAGACGGCGAGAAAUUCGUCAAAUGGGACGAGGACUCAGGAGUUGGGACACCAGUCACGUUGCGGGUAGAUAAAUUCGGUUUUUAUCUUCAUUGGGUAGAUCAGAACAAUGAAAUGGAUAUGCUGGAUAUUUCCACAAUACGAGAUACACGCACUGGAAAAUACGCCAAAAUCCCAAAAGAUCCGAAAUUGAAAUCCCUGGUAACAAUGGGCUCUCAAGAUUCUCUCGAGGAGAAGACUGUAACGGUAUGUUACGGCUCUGACUUUGUCAACGUGACGUUUAUCAAUUUUUGCACAACACGAGCUGAAAUCGCACGACAUUGGACGGAUCAGCUGUUGAAAGUUGCUUACAACUUGACGCAACUUAACACGAGCUCAAUAAUGUUCUUACAAAAAGCGCACACUAAGCUUUCCUUAACAGCCGACAAGUCUGGAAAGGUUGCAAUUAAAAAUGUGAUAAGAAUGUUCGCGCAAAAUAAAGAAGACCGCAAACGUGUUGAAAAAGCACUUGAUAUUUCCGGCAUGCCUUCUGGCAAGAAUGAUGCAAUAUCUUUGCAGAAAUUUCAGUUUGAAGACUUCUUCAAUUUUUAUAAAUCCCUCACUCAGCGUACCGAGGUAGAAAAGGUGUUUGAUGAAAUAGUGGGCAAUGCGAAGCGCAGACUAAUGUCAGCUGCACAGCUUGUAGAAUUUCUGAACAAAACUCAGAGGGAUCCACGAUUGAAUGAGAUUUUAUAUCCGUAUGCAAAUACGGCGCGCGCAAAGGACAUUAUCAACGAAUAUGAACCGAACAAGUACAACGCGGGAAGAGGAUACCUCAGUUUUGACGGUUUUCUCAGGUACUUAAUGAGCGAGGAUAAUCCCAUUAUGGCUGUAUCAAAAUUUGAUCUUUCCGACGACAUGGAUCAGCCGCUAUCUCACUACUUCAUCAAUUCAAGUCACAACACUUACCUCACAGGACACCAAAUAACUGGCAAAAGUUCAGUUGAAAUAUAUCGGCAAUGUUUGUUGGCUGGAUGUCGUUGCGUGGAGUUGGAUUUCUGGAACGGCAGAUUUGAUGAACCCAUGAUUGUUCACGGAUACACAUUUGUGCCUGAAAUAUAUGCACGGGACGUGAUAGAGGCGAUAGCUGAGAGUGCCUUCAAGACUUCAGAAUAUCCGGUCGUCCUCAGUUUUGAAAACCAUUGCAAUCCAAGACAGCAAGCAAAAAUAGCACAGUAUUGCAGAGAGUAUUUUGGUGAGAUGCUGCUCGACGCUCCUCUUGAAUCUCACAAGUUAGAACCCGGACAAGAACUUCCACCGCCAUCAUCGUUGAAGCGAAAAAUAAUAAUAAAGAAUAAAAAGAAGCAUCAUCAUCACCAUCAUCACAAGAAACAUCACAAGAAGCAACAAGCACAGUCUCAGGAUUCCGGCGAGGGUUCACAGGAAGCCGAUGACAAUGGACUGGUGAACAUCGGAGCUGAGGGUGAGAGUGGACCACCGCCUGAUAUAAUACCGCAAAACGAAGUCGUAGAUGGAGUUGUCAUCGGAGCCGCUCCAACCGAGCAGCAAAUUGGAAAUGGAGACAUUCCUCGCGCUCCUUUGCUACAGCAGAGGCAGGGAAGCAAGGACAGUACGCAGGAUGACGAUGACGAAGACGAAGAGUCCACCACUGACGAAGAAGAGUCGAAUGUUGAAGAUAUGAAACUGAGAAUCGGUGACAAAAUCCCUGUACCUGACAAGGUAGCGACAGCUGCUACUGCAAAGGAAACAGAGGCGGGUGCCGAAAUAUCGGCUCUUGUCAACUACGUGCAACCCGUGCAUUUUAGCAGUUUUGAAAAUGCUGAGAAGAAAAAUCGCAUGUACGAAAUGUCUUCGUUUGACGAGAAACAAGCAACGACGCUGUUGAAGGAGAGGCCAUUGGAGUUUGUAAAUUACAACAAACACCAGCUUUCCAGGGUUUAUCCCGCAGGGACCAGAUUCGAUUCCAGCAAUUUUAUGCCUCAAGUGUUUUGGAAUGCCGGCUGCCAGCUGGUCGCACUGAAUUAUCAGACUCUAGAUCUUGCCAUGCAACUCAACUUGGGGAUUUUCGAGUACAACCAUCGUUGCGGAUACCUUCUUAAACCAGAAUUUAUGAGGCGAAAGGAUCGGCGAUUGGAUCCCUUUGCUGAGUCAACUGUCGACGGUAUAAUAGCCGGAACUGUACACAUACACGUGAUUUCGGCACAAUUUUUAACAGACAAGAGAGUCGGCACUUACGUUGAAGUCGAUAUGUACGGGCUGCCAGCAGACACCGUGAGAAAGAAGUUUAGGACUAAAAUCGUCCCGAAUAACGGAAUAAACCCGGUUUACGAUGACCCGCCAUUCAUUUUCAAAAAGGUUGUUUUGCCAGAACUCGCAUCUCUGCGAAUAGCUGCUUACGAGGACUCAGGUCGACUGAUCGGACAUAGAGUUCUUCCAGUCGUUGGUUUGUGUCCCGGGUAUAGACAUGUCGCUUUGAGAACCGAAUGCGGCCAACCACUGCCUUUGGCUAGCCUGUUUCUGCACGUAAUCGUCAAGGAUUACGUACCCGACGGACUUUGCGACUUUGCCGAAGCGUUAGCCAACCCGAUUAAAUACCAAAGUGAAUUAGAGAAAAGGACUAAUCAGCUGUCUGUCUUCACAGAUGACGUCGAUGAACUCACGGAAGGGGAUUUAGAAGAUAAGGAUAAGUUUGGCACAGGGGCAAGUUCCUCAAAAUCAACAGAUGAGUUGUCAAAGGCAAAACGCUUGCAGUCAAUCAGCGAAUCAACUGGAUCGUUGCCGUUGUCUGGCAGUCCGCAUGGCAGGCCGUCCAUAGUGGGGAUCCUCAAUUCUCCCGAAAACCAAGAACAAGACGAGAGCCCAAAUGCUUCCACAUUACAACCAGCGGAAAGUUCUGCGACGAAAAGUCCUGUGAAUACAAGUACUGUGAACGAUGAGAUAGUGGCCGACUCGUUUGAAAAGUUAAUGGAGAACAAACUGAUUAAGGAUAAAAAAAUGGAGUUGGAUAAAAAGUUGGAGUCGUUGAGGAAAAAACACGAGAAGGAAAAGAUGAGAAUACAGUCGCAGAAAGGAUCACUGGACGGUGAAAAGCACAGAUCUAAAUUUUAUGUGAGCCAGAUGCUGGUAAAGCGACUUUCGAGUAAAAACAUAUUCUCAAGCGAAGUUGGACUUAGCACUCAACUGCUGGCCGAAACCUCUGAAUGUUCCGAGGCAGAGCAACGCGACGGAGUGGAAGGAAUUCCGCGAGGAUUGCCUAGAAGUCAGAGCGAGAGACUGUUAGCAGUGUGCAAAGAGCAUGUGCUGCAGGAGCGGGAACUUCAAGAGAAAUAUCACGACAGUUUGUUUGCAACGCUUGAAAAAAUAAUGAAAGUUUCACAGUCAAAUCAGUUGAAAUUGUUAAAAGAAAAUCGUCAAAGAGAGAGAGAAGAGGCAUUGAAAAAACUCCAGGCUACUAGGCAGGAUCAGGUCAAACAACUCGCCAAGCUUCACAGAGAUAAGGGUGAGUUGGACAGAGUUAAGCGUGAGCUGGCUAAGUCUACGGUUGAGAGAGGUGUCAACGAGUGUACUAAACUGAAAGAAAUUUAUGAGAAGAAACGAGUUGAACUCGAAAGACAGCAUGAAGAGGUCAGACAGAGGCUAGAAGAAGAAAAAGCGAAGGUAAAAGCAGCUCUGCAGGCGGAGUAUAACAAUCGUUACAGCAAGUUUGAAAUUGCCGAAUUUACGUUGUCUCCAUCCGGCGGUAGCAGCAUCCCAGAGUCUUUGAGUGGAAACACUAACUAAUACCUCAAGUUGGGUCUGCGAGAAUAAUACGUAGGCCUUGAAACUUACUUGCUGUGUUUAGACUGUCCAUCAGACACUAUCCGACUCUGGUGUUUUCUGUGUUUUCGGGGACCUCGAUAGGCGCGCUGUCCAAAAUGUAAGUCUUCGUGUUUCAAUUAAUUACUUUUAAGAUAGAAAAAAAAAAAAAAAAACACUUACUGCAUCGAGUUGUGGUAAAACCGAAGAGCUAAUUAUUAGAUAUUGUUUAGUUUUCUUGAGAGAUGUUGAGACAAGCGAAAGAAGUGGACAACUCCUGUGUUAAUCGAGAGGCUCUCCUUUUCAAAUCGCAACUAGCUAUGCCGAUAAUUUCGAAGAAGCAUGAUAUUUUAUGUAUAUGUACAUACCAUGCAUUAUUAUAGUAUGCUAUCUUUAAUUGACACUGAUUUGAUUGAUUGAAGUCUGCGAAUUGUUUUCAAACAAAGCGAGCUUCGUCACAGCGAUGUUUUCUGACAGAAGGAAACUUUAAUUUGGUCAAGCAAAAAAAUGGGUUGGUAAUUCACACGUAAUAACUAUCCUCUUCAACUAUCGAGUGUGACCCAGGAGCUCAGCAAACAGACUAUUGAGAAGUAAAGAUAUGAAAUCUAAUUCUAAAUAACUGUAACCUUUUUCAAAAUAUCGAUUCACUUUGUUGUUAUAUGAAUAAGAUGUUACUCAGAAAACAAUUCUAACCAUAUUAUACUUAUAGGGAGAAAAACAAGAAAGAUGUAAAUGAAAACAACAACAAAAAACAAGAACAAAACAAAAGUUAAAAAAAAAAAAAAAAAAAAAAAUGCAAAAUAGAAAUAUCAAUUCAUUUAUAAUUUAUAAAAUCAAAUCUUGUAAGAUCUGAGAUGUAUAAAUAUUUAUGUGAAUCUCUUUGGCCUAUAAGAAGCGUAAGGCAUGUGCGAUUAUAAUAUAACACAUUUAACAUAUUUUUGACUGAAAGUAAUCAACGUAAAAACAUUUCUCAAGAACCUGCUUCAGAAGCGCUGGGACUGAUUGAUGAAAACGUAAUGGAGUUUCAAUACACUUGUACAUCUUGGCUGUUUGCCGAACAGUAUCGCAAAGUUGCUAUGAUUGUAAAUCAGGUAUCUAAUUUUUGUAUUUCACGAUUUAUUCGAAGACAAAGCCAAUGCAUUCCUGCUUGUUUAGUAAAUAUUGUUUAUUUUGUGUGUACAUUGUUGGAGAAAAACGUACGACAUUGAAAAUUUGGAAGUAUGUGUAAUUCCACUUUCAAGCUAGAGCCUAUUUUUUAAUUGAUUUCUUAAUCUGACUUGCGCAGUCAAUGCAGUCAGUACAACAUGCAAUUAAACUGGGCCUGCAUUGGCUGUUUCAAUGAAAUGAAUAACGUUGUGUAAAAUAUAAGUUAGAUUAAAGUAUAAUAUUAAUAUAUUUUAUAUAUCCUAUUGAAAGCAGGAAAAAAAAAAGAAAUCUCAAGGCAACGUUUUAUUUACUUAUCGAUGUUGAAUAUUAGGCGACGAAGUUGACCACCGGCUGUUCCCAGCACUUCUGACGUUCACCAGGAUCUGUGUGAGAUUCAUCAAAGAAUGAACUUUGGUCGAAUCACCUCUUUGAGGAAGACAAUCAAAAAUGUUACAGAGUAAACUAAACUGUAACAUUUUCCUUGUUGUUUCUAAUCAUAUGAUAUACUUAAAAUAAGCUAAUCUUAUUAACUCUAAGGUAAAGAUUUAAGGUGUGUAAACUUUCUUGUAAAGUGUGUUAUUUAUUUGUGUCUAAAUUAUCAUAUUGUUCCGAGUAUAAGUCAAGGUUUUUUGCCGUUGACAGCACGCACCAAAAUUGUCCUCGUCUUGUACGCGGGUAACUAAGGAAAACACCCUGAAAUACUGUCUUAGAAUUGGGGAUCGGCUUGUACGCGGAACAAUGUGGUAUUAUUGCUGACAUUAGUAUCGGACGUACGGUCAUCAUUAUAGGGCAUGUUCACUGAUUAUUGUGGCAGCAUAGUUUUUACGGCAGUGGGAUUCGAGGUCUGAAUAUUAUUUGGCGUUAAGAUAUCAAAGUUGGUUAAACGAUGUCUUGUUGCAUCGAAUCAACGAAUUUGUUUUACGUUGCGUCUCUGCCCGAAAUCCGACUGUCGAUAGAUAAUGUAAAGGGGACAUGUUGUGAUAUUAAAGGAUCUCAAAGCAAUCGUAGCAGUGCAAACAAGUCGUUACGAAAAAAACAUCAAAAUGAGCUGGUUGAGUAAAAAUAUGCGAUUAAACUUCACACUGCUCACAACCCAGUAAAGCUAUUUGUUAAAAUGCAAUAAGUCGCAGAAUACACGGUUGAAGGAUACAAUUUUGGCUAAUAAGUAUUUGAGGGUGAGAAAGAAUCUCAUUAUUAUAUUGAUCCGGACGUAUUGUUCCAUAGUUGUAAUAUUAUUCCAAGUCGCACGUUUGGUUUUAAUAUCUACCACCUGACGCCUGCUUAUCUCAAGUACCGUACAAGUCUAUUUUUUAUACGAAGAGAAAAGACAUGAUAUUUUAUACACAAUAUAAGUCGCAGGAAUUGUCUUUCCUUCGGAAUUAAUUUACGUGUUUUUUCCGUUCUUUGAAAAUCCAGCUAAUUUCUCUGCUCCUCAUUGUUCAGAAUAAGUCCGUUACAAUAUUGCUGCAAUUUUGACAUAUUCUCAAUAUAAUGGCUUGAGAAAGUUGGUGUACCGACAGCAGUUCACAAGCUUGAGACAACAAUGCUUAAAUAAUGUAACGUUUGUCGAAACAUUCAGGAAAUGUUUGGCAAUCGAGGGGAAACGAGCGCAGUCGAUAGACAGAAAAGAAGAGAAAAAAAACGGAUAUCACAAUAACGAUGCUUGGAUAUUAAAAGAUACAAAUACAACGUGUUGAAAAAACAAAAAUGUAAUCUAGAAUUACACACAUGCAUGCAUGUACAUACGCGCGUACAUAUGGUAUGUAUAUACCAGUAAAAGUUGAGGAGAGUUGCAUUUUAUAGAUAGUCACUAUUAUACCGUGAGAAAUAAUGCGUGUUUUCCAAAUAGUACUUAGGAGAAGUAAAAUAAUGCAACAGACAUAUUGUAAAUGCGGAUAGUAACGUCCAAGAAAAGUUACCAUUUCUUAACAAAGACUCGGGCCGAUCGUCUACCUAUCCUACCUACUGCCUAGAUCCUAGUUUUUCUAGUAGCGAUAUGGAUUUUCUGCUGGAAUUGAACGUGUAUAGUCGAUGCGAGCGAACCUCGUUGUAAGGAAAUGGCUUCAAUUUUUGGACAGUUAGACCCAAAUAUAUUGCCUAGUAAUACAGGAAAGUGAAACCGAAUACUUUUGAUCUAGUUCUGGUAGUAACGAUGUAACAAUACCACAACUAAACGACCUUUGCCGUUUCUGAUGUGACGAUAGAUAGUUUUUCUCAGUUCGAUGCUUUUAUCUGACAAAUAGUAUUCAUGCUGUAGAGCGUACCAGCUUCCUGUAUCAUUACACUAUAUUUGGAAGAAGUUAAUGAUUAGCGUAACGCCUCUUCCAAAUAGGAUUUUCCCUUAGGGUUGUAUUGUAACUAGUUAGUGAAUUGAUACCUUUAGCAAAUUGUAAGAUUAAUGUUUAUAGGAACGGUAUUAAUGUAGAUAUACAUAAGCAUACAUAUAUGUAUACCAACAGUUUUGCAGUAGCUUAGAAAUAAUUAUAGCACAAUGUUGUACGUGGCAUAAGUGUGUAUUUAAAAAUGCACUGGAAAUUUCGUUAGUUUGUAUACCUCUAUGCAUCGCUGUUAACUUUGGUACAAAGAAAUGCAAACGAUCAAAUUUUUAUAACUUCUCUCUUUCUCAUUUCGCAAGUCUUUUAACGCAUAUACAAAGCGUUUGGUAAAAAAUUUGGAAACGCGUUAAAAAUUCUUACGAAGAAAAUUUGUCUCUAAUCGAUAUACUCAUGCAUUUUAUGUCUGGUCUCAUUUGAUAAACAACCUAGUAUUUGAAUAGUUAUAAUUAUGUGUGUAGUAGAUAUUCAGCUUGCUGUUAUCAUUUCACUUUUAAAGUCUCGACGCAAAAGAAGAAAGUUCUUUUUUAUGACAAAUUAUCAAGUAGUUAUCAAUUUUUACAAAUAAUUUCUUUACUGUUUCAUACGAGUAAUCAUUUUCAAGAUUUUAAUUUUGCUGCUAGCGAUUUUGAAAUUUAUCAUCACUGAUUUUGGCAGAGUCCUAGUCACAAUUUACUACUGUACCAGUUAUCAAUAAAAGAGAAUCGAUAUUUUAGUUAGUAGGGGAACGAGUUGCGUGCUAAUAGUUUAGUUUAUAGAGCUGGGCAUCGUGAUUUUUCUACUAAACGGUACAAAUUCUUAAUAUUAUUUAAUACAAUUCCUUUACGUCGGAGAGAGCGUUCCAAGAUCUUCCAUUACAAUACCGUAUAGAAUAAUAAUUAUAUUUCAAUUUCAAUCGCGCUGCAAUCUGCAACUUUUAUACUUGCCUGUAUUUCCUUAUCAAGAAUCUACUUAUGUAUUACAAUUCUGAAGCAACGGCAAUCGAACCAUUUUACUGUUAAGCGAUCGGUUCUUUGUUGUAUCCGUAUAUAUAUAUGUUUUUUUUUCUUCAAGUUUUGUCGCACAGCGUUCCACAAGUUACCGUUUAAUUUAGGUUUAGAAUAAAACUUGCCACUCGAUAGUACAACGUACAAUUUUACCUGGAUAACAGUGAUGCGUAUGAUUUGACGUAGACCUCGGAUUAGCCGAAUACUGGGUGUGGAGUAAGAGGCUAACUGUGGGAGAAGAUGAAACCUCGAAGCGCAUGCAUUUUGUCACUCCGUCUAUGCGUGCAAACUUCCGGAUCAGAAUUUCGUAUCCCAGUAAUUACGUCGUCUGUAUAUAUUAGCUUGACCUCCCAUCCUCCUUCAUCCUACCACAAAUAUUUAUAUACAAAAUAACGAUAAAUAUAUUAUAUCCAUGUUGAAAUAUUAAUUAUGUGUUGUUGCUGUUGAUGUUGUUAUUAUAAUAUAAUGGUCAUCAUUGUUCAUAGAGAUGAUAAUUGAUAAGGUAGCGUUACAUAAAUACAUACAUACAUACAUAAAUACAUACAUGCGUGCAUAUAUAUACUAUGUGCAUUACCUUAGAUAUAUAUGUACAAUUCGGUAAAUUAAAGUAACGCAUUAUCCCGUGUAUCACAUUUUAAUAUUUUGAAAAUCUGUCGAGCUUGGCAUGCGAAUUUUUAAGAUUUAAAUUUAUCCCGUGCAACUUAUUACGGAAAUGGAAAUAAUCUUUGUUUGGCUAGGCUAUUUUUUUAAUACACAUUAUUAUUUAUUUAUUUAUUUUACUUUUAUCACCAUAUUUUCUCACACGCAUUAACGCUUAAAAUUAGUCAGUCGUCCUAAAAACUAACAACUAAGUCGUGUUACUUGAACUUUGAAACUCCAAUUGUUUUCGCAUGUUUACUUCUAGUUAGUAGAAUUUUAAAUCUCUACAGUUAUAUCCUCCGAAAUAGUCGAAUUUCUUUGGUACUUUAAUCUAGGGAAUUUAUUACACUGCUUCACUCUCCUCAAAUCUUCUUUCGCAAUUAACUGAUGUAAAUCUAAGAACGAAUGAUCAGGAUUUUUCAUCAUUUUAUUUAAGUUAAUAAUACACACACACAGACACACGAUUUUCUUUUGUACAAGAUAUGUAGAGUGAAAAUUACUGCGCACACACACGCACGACAUACAUAAACAAAUAUAUAUAUUUAUUAGUUGAUACGACAUUGUGGAGAUACAGGGUAUUCAGAAAAAUUAAAAUGCAAGUUUGACAUAUGCAACUAUCAUCAUGUAUAGCUGACAAUUGAAUUAAAACACUACGAGGUUUUACUUGUUUUAUAGAAAGGAUUGUCGUUAAUUUAAAUUAAUUUCACCUGCUGUCGAACGUUUCACACGUCCGUCGUUCGUACCCAUUUUCACGAUUAAAUAUCGAUGUACACGUACACCGGUAGCAGAUUUGUUUUUUCUGGACACUCUGUAGUGUAUAUACAUACAUAGUAUAACGACGGUAUUAAUCGUUUAUAAUCGAAACGGGGUGUGUGCAUAGAAUAGCGUAGGACAGCGAUGUAGUUAAAUAAUUGCUAAGGAGGCAAGUGGUUGAAAAU